GCUCCUUAUAAGGCGUAGGCGCAGCGUCACUCUCAGCUACGGGAUAGCGAGUUGCCAGCAAGCCAGCGGCUCCGUUCGGGCUUUCCCGAAUUGUUUUCUGUUUUGCCAGUUUCCGUUUUUUAUUUUCAUUAUUAUCAUUUGUCUUGUAAAAAUUAUUAUUUAUUGUAAAUAAAUAUAAUUUUUCUCUGCA